rnacentral:rRNA from 1 species
CCUACGGGAGGCAGCAGUGAGGAAUAUUGGUCAAUGGACGAGAGUCUGAACCAGCCAAGUAGCGUGAAGGAUGACUGCCCUAUGGGUUGUAAACUUCUUUUAUAUGGGAAUAAAUGUUCCACGUGUGGUAUUUUGUAUUUACCAUAUGAAUAAGGAUUGUCUAACUCCGUUUCAGCAGCCGCGGUAAUACGGAGGAUCCGAGCGUUAUCCGGAUUUAUUGGGUUUAAAGGGAGCGUAGGUGGAUUGUUAAGUAAUAUGUGAAAGUUUGCGGCUCAACCGUAAAAUUGCAGUUGAAACUGGUAGUCUUGAGUACAGUAGAGGUGGGCGGAAUUCGUGGUGUAGCGGUGAAAUGCUUAGAUAUCACGAAGAAAUCCGAUUGCGAAGGCAGUUCACUGGACUGCAACUGACACUGAGGCUCGAAAGUGUGGGUAUCAAACAGGAUUAGAUACCCUUGUAGUC